rnacentral:misc_RNA from 1 species
UACGGAGGGUGCAAGCGUUGUUCGGAAUUAUUGGGCGUAAAGCGCGCGCAGGCGGCUCUUUAAGUCUACGGGUGAAAUGCCGGGGCUCAACCCCGCGCGUGCCCGAGAUACUGGAGGGCUGGAGACACGUAGAGGCAAGCGGAAUUCCGGGUGUAGCGGUGGAAUGCGUAGAGAUCCGGAAGAACACCGGAGGCGAAGGCGGCUUGCUGGGCGUGAUCUGACGCUGAGGCGCGAAAGCGUGGGGAGCGAACAGG